rnacentral:rRNA from 1 species
UACGGGGGGGGCAAGCGUUGUUCGGAAUUACUGGGCGUAAAGGGCUCGUAGGUGGCCAACUAAGUCAGACGUGAAAUCCCUCGGCUUAACCGGGGAACUGCGUCUGAUACUGGAUGGCUUGAGUUUGGGAGAGGGACGCGGGAAUUCCAGGUGUAGCGGUGAAAUGCGUAGAUAUCUGGAGGAACACCGGUGGCGAAGGCGGCGUCCUGGACCAACACUGACACUGAUGAGCGAAAGCCAGGGGAGCAAACGGG